rnacentral:rRNA from 1 species
GCUAAUGCUCGUGCUCAAGAUUACCAUGCAUGUCUAGUACAUACCGUAUGUAAGGUUGAAACCGCAGAUGCUCUAUGGAAUCAGUUAUAUUCAUUGGAGUUCCAUUACCUGGAUACGUGGGUAAUUCUCGAGACUAUACAUGCCGAAAAGCGUUCAUUUGCCUCGUGGUGGAGCGCUUAUUAAGACCAAGACACAAAGGUGAGGCACCACUUAGGUGGGACUGCUGCGGAAAUGCAAGCUACCGCAGGCGCGAGUGCCGGUGCGGCAUAUCCUUCGAGUGUCUGCAACUAGCAUCACUGUUCGAUGGUAGUUAUAUGCCACCCAUGGUUGUAACGGGUAGGGGAAUCAAGUGUGUCGUAAUUCCGGAAGGGAGCAUGAGAGACGGGCUACCACAUCCACGGAAGGCAGCAGGCGGCGCAAAUGACCCACUCUCAAACGAACGGAGGAGUGACGAAAAAUAACAUACGGGCUCGCUUUAGGCGUUCUCGUAAUUGGAGAUGAUACACGUGUAAUGCGUUAACGAGGAUCAUUGGGGAGGCGCAAGUGGCUCGUGCCAGCAGCCGCGGAAAUUCCUAGCGCUCCAAUAGCAGUAUUCUUAACAGUUGUUGUGGUUGAAGCGCUCGUUGGAUCUCAGGCUCUGUAUGGGCGGUCCACGCGUGAUAGGUGGUUACUGUCCCUUACUUGAGGCAGAUUAUCGCCUUGUCUACGGUGUUUUAAUGAGUUGUCGUAGGCUGAUCGAAUUACGUUUACUUUGAAAAACAAUCUCCGAGAAGCGCUCAACGCAGGCAUUUCUCGCCUGAAUACUGUUGCAUGGAAAUAAUGGAAUAGCGACUCUUUGGUUCUGUUCUGUUGGUCUCGGAAUUCGAGCUGGGGUAAUGAUUAAAGAGUGGACGGGACGGGUACAUUAGUACGCGGCUAUUUAGAGUGUUUGGAAAAUUCUUGGACCGGCCCGCAAUGCCUAACUAAAGCGAAAGGCAUUUGUCAAGAACGUUUCAUUAAUCAAGAACGAUAAGUUAUAUGGUUCGAGUCGAUUUUUCAGAAUACCGCCCUAGUUAACCAGAAACGAUUGCCCAACGGCCAUCAGCCCGAGUUUAUUGUAUGACUCGGCUGGCGGCUUCCGGGAAACCAAAGUUUUUUUGUUCCCAGGGGAAAAUUCUGCGUUGCAAAGCUGAAACUUAAAGGAAUUGACGGACGAAGGGCACCCACCAGGAGUGGAGCCUCGGCUUCAUUGACUCAACACGGAACACUCACCCGGUCCGCUGCACGGAAGUAUUGGAUCAGAUUAAGUAGCUCUUUCUUUGAUUCAUGUGGGUCGGUGGUGCAUGGCCGUUCUUAGUUGGUGGAGCGAUUUGUCUCGGUAAUUCCGAUAACGAAUCGAGACUCUCAGCCUACUAAAUCGUGUUGGAUACCUUCGGUUAUCCGAAAUGCUUCUUAUGAUGGGACAACCGGCUCGUUUUAGGCCGUAUGAAAAACAGAGCACCAUAAACAGGUCGUGAUUGCCCUUAGAUGUCCGGGGCCGCACGCGCGCUACACUGAAAAACACUCAGGCGUGACUGGUCUACCUACUCCGAACAGGCGCGCGGAAACAGUUGAAACUUUUUGUGAUUGGGAUGGGAUUGUAAUUACUUGUUCCAUGCACGCCGGAAUUCCCAGUAAGCACAAGUCAUCCAGCUUGUGUGAUUUCCGUCCCUGCCCUUUGUACACACCGCCCCGUCGCUACUACCGAUUGGAAUGUUUAGCUGAGGUCUUUGCGACUGGGCCACGUAGCUAUCCUCGUGGUGGCCAUGUUCGGCCUGGUAAGAUGACCCAACUUUGAACAUCUAGCAGGAAGUAAAGUCGUAACAAGGUUUCCUUCGGUGAACCUGCGGAAG